rnacentral:rRNA from 1 species
UACGGAGGGUGCAAGCGUUAAUCGGAAUUACUGGGCGUAAAGCGCACGCAGGCGGUUAGAUAAGCUAGAUGUGAGAGCCCCGAGCUCAACUUGGGAACUGCAUUUAGAACUGUCUGACUAGAGUCUUGUAGAGGGGGGUAGAAUUCCAGGUGUAGCGGUGAAAUGCGUAGAGAUCUGGAGGAAUACCGGUGGCGAAGGCGGCCCCCUGGACAAAGACUGACGCUCAGGUGCGAAAGCGUGGGGAGCAAACAGG